UGGACACUACUUGGGAUUUCUCGCCCAUAGAACACAAAAACCACACAAAUCGGUUGGAAAUACGAGUGAUGAAGAAAUACAUUAUACAUUUGGGUCUGGCUAAUAACCAUGCUCACCCAUCAUAAUCAUAAUAUUCUCAACGCUACGAAAAAUAACACGAUACUAAUGCUAUAAUCCAAAACACUGGAAACUCUGGAAAUACUGAUGACGCACAGACACAUAUAAACUUCCGUGGGAAAUGCUGAAUAUAAUAUAUAAUGGAUAUAUUUUUUAUUUUCAAUGCUACGCAAAAUAAUACGAUACUGAUGCUAUAAUACGGAACCCUGGAAGCUCUGGAAGUACUGAAGACGCACACACAUAUAAACUUCCGUGGGAAUUGCUGAUGACUUAACACCAUACAUAUUAUAACAUAAUAAACCACAAUCUCAUAUUUUGUUUCUCAACACUAAAACCCCUAUUAAAAUGUGCAUAUAAAA